AAAAGCAAAUUGUGAAAGUUUCAUUAAGAUUUGAGCAUAUUUAAAUUCUCUGGAUUUUUUUUGAAUGAUCGUAUGGAAAACAAGUUUGGAAACACAGCCUAUUUUCUCAAUGCUUACUUUUUACAGAUGGGACUGACUUGCGAUUCACGGCAGUGCAGCUCUGAAAAUUUCACUUAAAUUCCCCCGGUCACUGUAGAAAUGCCGAUUAAGAAAACUCACUGGUACGAGCGGCAGUCAAGUUGCAUAAUUCUCGCUUCAUUUGUCGCACUGGUGUUGUCGCGACUUCGCGUGCGACGCCCCAUACAAUCAAACACCUCUUAUGUACCAACCUCUUUUCGAUAGCCUUGUCGUCGAUGACAAGCGCCCAGCCGUCUGCGCGCCACUGUGUUGGUUGUCAGUGUGAGUAGUAAUAAGAAGUAAACGAUGAUAAACGUCAGACAGAUAGAUAGUUACGAUCAAAACUGCAAGUCAGAGUCAGAAUUCAACGAAUUGGCGCACAAUUAGUGGCUUCAAUUAAUUUCAGCAUUUAUUUCAACGAAUUCGAGUUAAAAAGUCUGUGAAUUUUCUAAGUGUAGUGUACAGUCUGUAAUUUCAGUUCGUGAUUCCUCUAACAGUCACUGAAACGUUACCAGUACCGCUUUCCCAGUAAGACGAAAUUAGUAGGUCGUGCGUCAGAAUAGGUUAGUGAAUUGAUCUAAAUUGUAUCCUAAAACUUACUGGAAACUUAUUACACAGUCACAGCCUAGCAUCUCCUAAAGGGCCAUUUACGAUUUCAGUCAGUAACAGACCAAAACAGACAUAAGCAGCAUUCCCAACACCGAGUGAAUUUACGAAGACAGAAAAGACACUAAACGUAAGUUUUUCCUAAAUUUCUAUUGAAUUAUAUAAACCUAGACACAUAAGACAGCAAACAACUUAUUCUAUUAUGUACAGUAUAAACUUACAUUACUGUAUGAACUAUAUUGGCAGGAGUUUUUUAACGCCGUCGUCAUUGUCGUCGUUGAGCCAAGUUAACACCAAAUACACGUCGUUCAAAGAACCGGAAUCUGUCUUAUUUUCGUUGCUAUUUGCAACAGGUGUAUUUUGUAGAUCAUUUGUUGAAAAAACUCUUCGAUAAGCACCGUCUUAGCUUAGUCUUAGUCAUUUUCUUCCCACUGUCGACUGAAUCAUAGCUCAAAAAGUCAAAAUCCAAAGAGUGAAAUUAUCAGGCUGAUUUCUGCCGUCAGGAAAACAGUAAGGCAAGAAUUACCAAAAGGCAAAGUGUACAGAAAGGAGAAUAACAUGAUAAGUGAGAAAACUAAAAUAGGAAAUAUUAUCGGAAGCACAAAGAACGUAAGGCAAAAGGUAACGAAAGACAGGAAAGACUGCAAGGAAAACAGAAAUCUAAAACUGAACAAAUGCUUGCAUUAGUGUUCACAUAGAAACAUGUCGACAAAAACUAUUUCUACUAUAAACUGGAUUGUAAUCCGAAAAGUCGAAUUCCAAAAAGUGAAACUAUCAGAUGGCAGAAUUGAAUACGUUAGGAAAACCGUAAGGCAAAAUAUACGGAAAGGAGUAUAACAUUAGAAGGCGUAAAACCAAAAUGGAAGAAAUUAUAGGAAGCACAAGGAACAUAAAGCAGAAAGUAUCGAAAACCAGAAAAAACUGCGCAGAAAACAG